rnacentral:ncRNA from 1 species
CUCUUAUCAAGAGAGGCGGAGGGACUGGCCCGACGAUGCCCGGCAACCUGCAAGCAGAAAUGCUUAUAAGGUGCUAAUUCCUGAAAGUGCGUAUGCACUUUAGAGAUGAGAG